UGGGGAAUAUUGGACAAUGGGCGCAAGCCUGAUCCAGCAAUGCCGCGUGUGUGAAGAAGGCCUUCGGGUUGUAAAGCACUUUUAUCAGGAGCGAAACGCUGUCGGCUAAUACCCGGCGGAACUGACGGUACCUGAGGAAUAAGCACCGGCUAACUUCGUGCCAGCAGCCGCGGUAAUACGAAGGGUGCAAGCGUUAAUCGGAAUUACUGGGCGUAAAGCGUGCGUAGGCGGUUUCUUAAGUCUGCUGUGAAAUCCCCGGGCUCAGCCUGGGAAUGGCAGUGGAUACUGGGAGGCUAGAGUGUGUCAGAGGGUGGUGGAAUUCCCGGUGUAGCGGUGAAAUGCGUAGAGAUCGGGAGGAACAUCAGUGGCGAAGGCGGCCACCUGGGACAACACUGACGCUGAGGCACGAAAGCGUGGGGAGCAAACAGGAUUAGAUACCCUGGUAGUCCACGCCCUAAACGAUGCGAACUGGAUGUUGGUCUCAACUCGGAGAUCAGUGUCGAAGCUAACGCGUUAAGUUCGCCGCCUGGGAGUACGGUCGCAAGACUGAAACUCAAAUGAAUUGACGGGGUCAUAGCUG
rnacentral:rRNA from 1 species